rnacentral:rRNA from 1 species
GACGAACGCUGGCGGCGUGCUUAACACAUGCAAGUCGAGCGAUGAAGCACCUUCGGGUGUGGAUUAGCGGCGAACGGGUGAGGAACACGUGAGGAAUCUGCCUUUCACUUCGGGAUAACUCCGGGAAACCGGGGCUAAUACCGGAUAUUUUCAACUGGCGGCAUCGCCGGUUGAAGAAAGUUUUUCGGUGAAAGAUGACCUCGCGGCCUAUCAGCUUGUUGGUGAGGUAAUGGCUCACCAAGGCGACGACGAGUAGCCGGCCUGAGAGGGCGACCGGCCACACUGGGACUGAGACACGGCCCAGACUCCUACGGGAGGCAGCAGUGGGGAAUAUUGGGCAAUGGAGGAAACUCUGACCCAGCGACGCCGCGUGAGGGAUGAAGGCCUUCGGGUUGUAAACCUCUUUCAGCAGGGAAUAAGCGAAAGUGAAGGUACCUGCAGAAGAAGCACCGGCUAACUAUGUGCCAGCAGCCGCGGUAA